rnacentral:rRNA from 1 species
GACGAACGCUGGCGGCGUGCCUAAUACAUGCAAGUAGAACGCUGACGGAGGAGCUUGCUCUUCUGGAUGAGUUGCGAACGGGUGAGUAACGCGUAGGUAACCUGCCUGGUAGCGGGGGAUAACUAUUGGAACCGAUAGCUAAUACCGCAUACCAGUAGAUGUUGCCUGACAUUUACUUAAAAGGUGCAAUUGCAUCACUACCAGAUGGACCUGCGUUGUAUUAGCUAGUUGGUGGGGUAACGGCUCACCAAGGCGACGAUUCAUAGCCGACCCGAGAGGGGGAUCCGCCCACAUGGGACUGAGACACGGCCCAGACUCCUACGGGAGGCAGCAGGAGGGAAUCUUCGGCAAUGGACGGAAGGCUGACCGAACAACGCCGCGUGAGUGAAGAAGGUCUUCGGAUCGUAAAGCUCUGUUGUAAGAGAAGAACGAGUGUGGGAGUGGAAAGUUCACACUAUGACGGUAUCUUACCAGAAAGGGACGGCUAACUAUGUG